UACGUAGGGUGCAAGCGUUGUCCGGAAUUAUUGGGCGUAAAGAGCUCGUAGGCGGUCUGUUACGUCGGCUGUGAAGACCUGGGGCUCAACCCCGGGCCUGCAGCCGAUACGGGCAGACUCGAAUUCGGUAGGGGAGACUGGAAUUCCUGGUGUAGCGGUGAAAUGCGCAGAUAUCAGGAGGAACACCGGUGGCGAAGGCGGGUCUCUGGGCCGAUAUUGACGCUGAGGAGCGAAAGCGUGGGGAGCGAACAGG
rnacentral:rRNA from 1 species